rnacentral:rRNA from 1 species
GGSUUAAUGUAAAAUAGUAUUAGGUCUGGCCUGCUCAAUGAUUUUUAAAUAGCUGCAGUAUUUUGACUGUACAAAGGUAGCAUAAUCAUUAGUUUCUUAAUUAGAAACUUGUAUGAAGGGUUCAAUAAAAAAAAAUCUGUCUCUAUUUAAUUUAUUUAGAAUUUUAUUUUUAAGUAAAAAAGCUUAAAUAAAUAUUGAAGACGAGAAGACCCUAUAGAGUUUAAUAUUUUAUAUUAAAAAUAUAAUUAGAAUAAAAGGAUUUAAUAAAAUUUAUUUUAUUGGGGUGAUUUAAAAAUUAGAUAAACUUUUUAUUAAAAAAGCAUUAAUUUAUGGGUAUGUGAUCCUUUAAUAAAGAUUAAAAGAAAAAAUUACCUUAGGGAUAACAGCGUAAUUUUUUUUAGAGUUCUUAUCGAAAAAAAAGAUUGCGACCUCGAUGUUGGAUUAAAAGAAAUUAUUGGKGUAGAAGCUAAUAAAUUAGGUCUGUUCGACCUUUAAAAUUUUACAUGAUCUGAGUUUAAACCGGCGKGAGCCAGGUCGGU